rnacentral:rRNA from 1 species
AUUAGCUGGUUGGUAGGGUAAUGGCCUACCAAGGCGACGAUCAGUAGCUGGUCUGAGAGGAUGAUCAGCCACAUUGGGACUGAGACACGGCCCAAACUCCUACGGGAGGCAGCAGUGGGGAAUAUUGGACAAUGGGCGCAAGCCUGAUCCAGCCAUGCCGCGUGAGUGAUGACGGCCUUAGGGUUGUAAAGCUCUUUCGCACGCGACGAUAAUGACGGUAGCGUGAGAAGAAGCCCCGGCUAACUUCGUGCCAGCAGCCGCGGUAAUACGAAGGGGGCUAGCGUUGUUCGGAAUCACUGGGCGUAAAGGGCGCGUAGGCGGCUUUGUAAGUCGGGGGUGAAAGCCUGUGGCUCAACCACAGAAUUGCCUUCGAUACUGCAUGGCUUGAGACCGGAAGAGGUUAGUGGAACUGCGAGUGUAGAGGUGAAAUUCGUAGAUAUUCGCAAGAACACCAGUGGCGAAGGCGGCUGACUGGUCCGGAUCUGACGCUGAGGCGCGAAAGCGUGGGGAGCAAACAGGAUUAGAUACCCUGGUAGUCCACGCCGU